rnacentral:lncRNA from 1 species
GUCGUUUUGCCCCUUCCUGUGGCUGACAGCAUCAGAGCAACCAGGUUGCCAAGAACUGAGUGAUGUGUCCACAUCCCGGGAGAGAGAAGCCAACAGAAGCUGGAAGAGCUAAAUCAGACUGCUCCCUAGAGCUUCAGAAGGAGCCAGAACUGAUGACUCCAAGAUCUUAGCCCAGUGAAACUGAUCUGGACUUCUGAACUAUGAGAGAUUCCAUUCCUGUUGUUUGAAGCUACCACAUUAUUGAGAACUUGUUACAGUAGCCCGAGGACACUAACACAAAUGGGGCUCCGGGAAAAUCCAGACUAAAGGUGUUGUGUUGGUUUGCAAUCUCCUUGCUUAACUUUCUGAUACUAGACAUAAAUAGAUUGGUGAAAAAUUUUGUGAUUGAAGAAAUGUACAUGAAACCUACAGCGUACAGAGAAGCAUCUG